AACACUGUUAACCUGCGGUACCUGCGGAAGGAUCAUUACCGAGUUUACAACUCCCAAACCCCUGUGAACAUACCAAUUGUUGCCUCGGCGGAUCAGCCCGCUCCCGGUAAAACGGGACGGCCCGCCAGAGGACCCCUAAACUCUGUUUCUAUAUGUAACUUCUGAGUAAAACCAUAAAUAAAUCAAAACUUUCAACAACGGAUCU
rnacentral:misc_RNA from 1 species